UGUUGUGAUGCUGGUGUUGUCCUUGUGAUGACCGUUAGUGGGAGGCUGGGCAAGGGUGUGAAGUGCACUUACAACCUGAGCAUAAUUUGCUCUGUUUACAAGCGUGCAUCAGUCCUUGCACAGAAGCGGUCAAACAACAAGCAGGGCAGACAUUCCUUAGGAACCUCAUCUCUAUGCUAAGGCUCUGGUUUCCAGGAAGCAAUUUUUCCCUUAAGAAUUAUUUAAUCAGAGCAAAAUCUUCCGGUACUUACAGACACAACUGCUGCUAUAUAGAACUUGGCAUUACAAAGAAAGUAACCACAACAUGGCAUGGCUUCCGGAGACUGAACAUUUUCUGAAGCGACAGGAGAGAGGAUGUGGAAGAUCGUACAUAGCAGUGCCACCUGCUACGCACAGUAACUUUCAAAGUUCUAACCUUUGACACUUAAUCGGAAAAUGUGUUCUAGGCAGUCUGCAAGUCCUGCUGUUGCAAGCCAUUUCUGCCUGGCUGUAGAAAGAAAUAAGAUUGGUGCGAUAAAAAAAGAAGAAAAAUGAAAAAGUAGUGCCUGCGCUCCCCUUACAGGAAGGUGCAUGUUCAUUUGGUUCGCUUCACGUGGAUUUAAUCAAUGGUAAUACAGAUGGGGGAAGUGUUA